rnacentral:misc_RNA from 1 species
GGCGCUCCGAACUGCUGACGUCGCCUGCCUCACUGAAGAACUCAGAGUAAAAGAAGAAGAGCUUAUGACGAAGGAAGCUAGUGCUUAUGUGAACGCCCACAGCGACCUUUUGGCUGAGCUCAGGAGGCGUUAUCCUGAGGAAGACUUCUCUUGGAUGGUGGACUUGGCUCCUCGAGACGAAGAGGAGAGCGAGGAGCAAUCAGAGAGAGAGAGGGAGAAUGAGCAAAAUGUACCGAGAGAUCAGGCUGGGGGAGAUCCUCCAGCCGAAUGACUUGU